UAUCCUUAAUGCAUAUAUAGAUACUAAAACAUGAAGGUAUGGGGUAUGGCAGUCCACGUGAACUAACUACCUGGCCCAUAGCCAACAUAUAGCGUAAUCUCUUGGUGGCAUAUGGAUGUAGGAGUAACAAAACAAAGAAGAACACCUAAAGAAAGUAAAUAAGUAGACACCUAUUUCUUCCGAGAAAAUGUACAUGCUAUCACACAACAUGAUCAUGCUUAUGUAUUGAAUAUCAAGAAGGAAGAGACCACCAUAUGCCAGUGCAGAGGUAAGGGCCACCGGGACACAUAGCGAGUCAGGUGAGGUGCUCUUCCUGAGGUCCUACUGGUCUGCCGGAGGCACAAGGCGAACCACUAGGAGACAUGGCGAGCCAGCCGACGUGCUGUUCCUAGAGUCCUUCUGGACUGUGGAAGGCAUAGAUGGUGACAGGAUUCUCGUCUGGCAUGGUGGAAUUGAUCAGUAUGACGACAUCAAAUCCAGAACUCCCAGCCCGUAUGUCUCUCCCCUCUCCUGCAAUUGGCAAAGCAAUAAGUUAUCGAUCAAUAUCUAUGGACACAGCUGCAUGAGGGACAACAAGGUACAACAGAAAAAACACAUCAAUCAGUAUGCUUGUACAGUACACAGUACACACACCUUCGCAAACAUUAUAUUCUCUUUUGAUAUUUGAUUUCUACCACGUAAUAAGCACCGUCAUUCAUCUUUCAAAGUCCUGGUUGUUAAUUUUGCAUCAUGUGUGUGGUAAUCUGGAUUCAGCAAAACUCUGAAUCCUUUCUUGAUAAUCUCAGUGUUAUCAACUUAUCAUAAAGAACCUGACAGAAAAAAGGUUGCCACGGGACAAAUCAAGAAACCUAUUGCCCCAGUUUUAAAUCAAGCAACAACCAACUCAC
rnacentral:lncRNA from 1 species